GAUGAACGCUGGCGGCGUGCCUAAUACAUGCAAGUCGAGCGAACGGACGAGAAGCUUGCUUCUCUGAUGUUAGCGGCGGACGGGUGAGUAACACGUGGAUAACCUACCUAUAAGACUGGGAUAACUUCGGGAAACCGGAGCUAAUACCGGAUGAUCUUUUGAACCGCAUGGUUCAAAAGUGAAAGACGGUCUUGCUGUCACUUAUAGAUGGAUCCGCGCUGCAUUAGCUAGUUGGUAAGGUAACGGCUUACCAAGGCAACGAUGCAUAGCCGACCUGAGAGGGUGAACGGCCAGCCUGGAACUGAGACACGGCCCAGACUCCUACGGGAGGCAGCAGUAGGGAAUCUUCCGCGAUGGGCGAAAGCCGGACGGAGCAACGCCGCGUGAGUGAUGAAGGUCUUCGGAUCGUAAAACUCUGUUAUUAGGGAAGAACAUAUGUGUAAGUAACUGUGCACAUCUUGACGGUACCUAAUCAGAAAGCCACGGCUAACUACGUG
rnacentral:rRNA from 1 species